rnacentral:rRNA from 1 species
UGCAAGUCGAGGGGUGAGAAGUCUUCGGACUUUGAGACCGGCGCACGGGUGCGUAACGCGUAUGCAAUCUACCUUUUACAGAGGGAUAGCCCAGAGAAAUUUGGAUUAAUACCUCAUAGUAUAUAGACUCGGCAUCGAGAUUAUAUUAAAGUCACAACGGUAAAAGAUGAGCAUGCGUCCCAUUAGCUAGUUGGUAAGGUAACGGCUUACCAAGGCUACGAUGGGUAGGGGUCCUGAGAGGGAGAUCCCCCACACUGGUACUGAGACACGGACCAGACUCCUACGGGAGGCAGCAGUGAGGAAUAUUGGACAAUGGGCGCAAGCCUGAUCCAGCCAUGCCGCGUGCAGGAUGACGGUCCUAUGGAUUGUAAACUGCUUUUAUACGAGAAGAAACACUCCUUCGUGAAGGAAUUUGACGGUAUCGUAAGAAUAAGGAUCGGCUAACUCCGUGCCAGCAGCCGCGGUAAUACGGAGGAUCCAAGCGUUAUCCGGAAUCAUUGGGUUUAAAGGGUCCGUAGGCGGUUUGGUAAGUCAGUGGUGAAAGCCCAUCGCUCAACGGUGGAACGGCCAUUGAUACUGCCAGACUUGAAUUAUUAGGAAGUAACUAGAAUAUGUAGUGUAGCGGUGAAAUGCUUAGAGAUUACAUGGAAUACCAAUUGCGAAGGCAGGUUACUACUAAUGGAUUGACGCUGAUGGACGAAAGCGUGGGUAGCGAACAGGAUUAGAUACCCUGGUAGUCCACGCCGUAAACGAUGGAUACUAGCUGUUGGAAGCAAUUUCAGUGGCUAAGCGAAAGUGAUAAGUAUCCCACCUGGGGAGUACGUUCGCAAGAAUGAAACUCAAAGGAAUUGACGGGGGCCCGCACAAGCGGUGGAGCAUGUGGUUUAAUUCGAUGAUACGCGAGGAACCUUACCAAGGCUUAAAUGUAGAUUGACCGUUUUGGAAACAGAACUUUCGCAAGACAAUUUAC